AGUGAACGCUGGCGGUAGGCCUAACACAUGCAAGUCGAACGGCAGCACAGUAAGAGCUUGCUCUUACGGGUGGCGAGUGGCGGACGGGUGAGGAAUACAUCGGAAUCUACUUUUUCGUGGGGGAUAACGUAGGGAAACUUACGCUAAUACCGCAUACGACCUACGGGUGAAAGCAGGGGAUCUUCGGACCUUGCGCGAUUGAAUGAGCCGAUGUCGGAUUAGCUAGUUGGCGGGGUAAAGGCCCACCAAGGCGACGAUCCGUAGCUGGUCUGAGAGGAUGAUGAGCCAACCGGGACGAAGGACCAGCUCCAGCCUCCUACGGGAGGCAGCAGUCGGGAGUGGUGGACAAUGGGCGCAAGCUUGAUCCAGCCAUACGGCGUGAGUGAAGAAGACCUUCGGGUUGCAAAGCCAUUUUGUCGGGAAAGAAAAGCAGCAGGUUAAUCCCCCGCUGUCCUGACGGUACCCAAAGAAUAAGCACCGGCUACCUUCGUG
rnacentral:rRNA from 1 species